rnacentral:rRNA from 1 species
UGAGUAAUGUCUGGGAAACUGCCUGAUGGAGGGGGAUAACUACUGGAAACGGUAGCUAAUACCGCAUAACGUCGCAAGACCAAAGAGGGGGACCUUCGGGCCUCUUGCCAUCAGAUGUGCCCAGAUGGGAUUAGCUAGUAGGUGGGGUAAUGGGCUCACCUAGGCAACGAUCCCUAGCUGGUCUGAGAGGAUGACCAGCCACACUGGAACUGAGACACGGUCCAGACUCCUACGGGAGGCAGCAGUGGGGAAUAUUGCACAAUGGGCGCAAGCCUGAUGCAGCCAUGCCGCGUGUGUGAAGAAGGCCUUCGGGUUGUAAAGCACUUUCAGCGAGGAGGAAGGUGGUGAGCUUAAUACGCUCAUCAAUUGACGUUACUCGCAGAAGAAGCACCGGCUAACUCCGUGCCAGCAGCCGCGGUAAUACGGAGGGUGCAAGCGUUAAUCGGAAUUACUGGGCGUAAAGCGCACGCAGGCGGUUUGUUAAGUCAGAUGUGAAAUCCCCGGG